rnacentral:rRNA from 1 species
UACGAAGGGGGCUAGCGUUGUUCGGAAUCACUGGGCGUAAAGCGCACGUAGGCGGAUCGUUAAGUCGGGGGUGAAAUCCCGAGGCUCAACCUCGGAACUGCCUUCGAUACUGGCGAUCUUCGAGUCCGGGAGAGGUGAGUGGAACUCCGAGUGUAGAGGUGAAAUUCGUAGAUAUUCGGAAGAACACCAGUGGCGAAGGCGGCUCACUGGCCCGGUACUGACGCUGAGGUGCGAAAGCGUGGGGAGCAAACAGG